rnacentral:tRNA from 1 species
GGACCCGUAAUGCGGUUGGAUAGAGCGCUGGCCCUCCGAAGGCAGAGGUCGCGAGUUCGAAUCUCGCCGGGUCCGCCA